rnacentral:rRNA from 1 species
UGGGGAAUUUUGGACAAUGGGCGAAAGCCUGAUCCAGCAAUGCCGCGUGUGUGAAGAAGGCCUUCGGGUUGUAAAGCACUUUUGUCCGGAAAGAAAUCCUUGGCUCUAAUACAGUCGGGGGAUGACGGUACCGGAAGAAUAAGCACCGGCUAACUACGUGCCAGCAGCCGCGGUAAUACGUAGGGUGCAAGCGUUAAUCGGAAUUACUGGGCGUAAGCGUGCGCAGGCGGUUUGCUAAGACCGAUGUGAAAUCCCCGGGCUCAACCUGGGAACUGCAUUGGUGACUGGCAGGCUAGAGUAUGGCAGAGGGGGGUAGAAUUCCACGUGUAGCAGUGAAAUGCGUAGAGAUGUGGAGGAAUACCGAUGGCGAAGGCAGCCCCCUGGGCCAAUACUGACGCUCAUGCACGAAAGCGUGGGGAGCAAACAGGAUUAGAUACCCUGGUAGUCCACGCCCUAAACGAUGUCAACUAGUUGUGGGGAUUCAUUUCCUUAGUAACGUAGCUAACGCGUGAAGUUGACCGCCUGGGGAGUACGGUCGCAAGAUUAAACUUAAUGAAUUGAC